AGUGAACGCUGGCGGUAGGCCUAACACAUGCAAGUCGAACGGCAGCACAGUAAGAGCUUGCUCUUACGGGUGGCGAGUGGCGGACGGGUGAGGAAUACAUCGGAAUCUACUUUUUCGUGGGGGAUAACGUAGCGAAACUUACGCUAAUACCGCAUACGACCUACGGGUGAAAGCAGGGGAUCUUCGGACCUUGCGCGAUUGAAUGCGCCGAUGUCGGAUUAGCUAGUUGGCGGGGUAAAUGCCCACCAAGGCGACGCUCCGUAGCUGGUCUGAGAGGAUGAUAAGCCACACUGGAACUGAGACACGGACCAGACUCCUACGGGAGGCAGCAGUGGGGAAUAGUGGACAAUGGGCGGAAGCCUGAUCCAGCCAUACCGCGUGGGUGAAGAAGGCCUUCGGGUUGUAAAGCCCUUUUGUUGGGAAAGAAAAGCAGCAGGUUAAUACCCCGCUGUUCUGACGGUACCCAAAGAAUAAGCACCGGCUAACUUCGUG
rnacentral:rRNA from 1 species